rnacentral:misc_RNA from 1 species
CAAGGAUAUUUUGGAAAACAGUUAGAGGAAUGUUGCCCCACAAAACAGAAAGAGGGAAGCAGGCUCUCCGUAGGCUGAAAUCAUAUGAAGGUAUCCCACCACCAUAUGAUAGGAGGAAACGUGUUGUAGUGCCUGGUGCACUUAGGGUUAUUUGCCUCAAACCAGGACGUAAGUUCUGUCACGUGGGUAGACUGUCUCACGAAGUGGG